CAGCCGCCGCGGUAAUACGGAGGGCGCGAGCGUUGUCCGGAAUUAUUGGGCGUAAAGCGCGCGCAGGCGGUCCCUUAAGUCUGAUGUGAAAGCCCACGGCUCAACCGUGGAGGGUCAUUGGAAACUGGGGGACUUGAGUGCAGAAGAGGAGAGCGGAAUUCCACGUGUAGCGGUGAAAUGCGUAGAGAUGUGGAGGAACACCAGUGGCGAAGGCGGCUCUCUGGUCUGUAACUGACGCUGAGGCGCGAAAGCGUGGGGAGCAACCAGGAUUAGAUACCCUGGUAGUCCACGCCGUAAACGAUGAGUGCUAAGUGUUAGAGGGGUUAAACCCUUUAGUGCUGUAGCUAACGCGUUAAGCACUCCGCCUGGGGAGUACGGCCGCAAGGCUGAAACUUAAAGGAAUUGGCGGG
rnacentral:rRNA from 1 species